rnacentral:ncRNA from 1 species
UAGGUUUAUUAUGAUUAAAAGGGAAAUUGGUAAAAGCCAAUACAGCCCCCGCUACUGUAAGUGGUACGAAAUCAACGAUAUACCACCUCUUGGGAAGGUGUUGAGAGUAGGAUAAACCACAAGUCAGGAGACCUGCCUAUAACUUUU